rnacentral:tRNA from 1 species
GGGGUUGUAGCUCAGCGGAGAGCACUUGCCUAGCAUGCAUGAGACACUGGGUUUGAUUCUCAGCACCACA